ensembl:lncRNA
GUCAUCGGGAGGGAUAUGUCCUACCCGUUGUUUUGCUUCCGGGCGUCCAUUACUCGGUGGCGUAGGCUGGAAGUUGGUUGCUUGCGAAUUAGGUUGAAUUUGAGAUUCUGGAGGUGAGUCUUGUUUCUUUGUGGUGUCAACAGAGCAGCAGCCCGUGUUCCAAGGUCCCCAAAAUUCUAUCUAAGCCGUAGAUGAGCUGCGACUUCGCUCUCCAUGACCGGCGGUUCCAAACGGAGGCAUUCAUCAGCCCCAUGCCUUGAAGUGGAUCGUGGCCAAUUACCCCGACGUCACCGAAGGGCUGCUGUUCUGUUGCGCCACAAAUUAACUCUCACAUGCAUGACGACCUGCAUGCGCACUUAAUUGUUUUCUUUGUUUUAUGUUUAUUCAGUUAAGUAGUGGUGUGCUGCCCGUCUGCCCUGCCUGCCCUGCAUGGCAUGCUGCUUACUGUUUGUGCUAACGUGGUUGUCCAGUGUUGUGCGUCUCCUGGCUCUGCUUGACCUGCAUUCGCAUUCUAUUGUUUUCUUUGUUUUAUGGUAUUCAGCUACGCAGUGGUGUGCUGCCCGUCUGCCUUGCCUGCCCCGCAUGGCAUGCUGUUUACUGUAUGUGCUAAUGUGGUUAUGCAGUGUUGUGCGUCUCCUGGCUCUGCUGACCUGCAUGCGCAUUCUAUUUUCUUUGCUUUAUAGGUUAAUGCUACGCAGUGGUGUGCUGCCCAUCUUCUCUGCUUGACCUGCAUGCUACUUUAUGCUUUUGUUUGUUUAAUUUGUCGGUUCUUUUCAUUUCUUUUCAUUUAUUCGUCCAGUCUGCUACAUUUAUUGUGUUCAUCUUGUGUGUAAUUAGUAUCCAGUAGUUCUAAUAAAUUAUAUUCAUUUGAAUUCAAGGCUCUGGCCCAGAUUGUACGAACUUGUAUUGCCUAAAGCUUUUGAAGCGUCUCGGGGGUGGCUAUAGCACGUGUUAGCUAGCACAGUUCUGGUCCUGGGGUAUCCCCUCCCCUAGGUGGCGUUGUCGACAUCUAACAAAUUCUUGCCACGGUCACACACAGUUACCACAUAUCAUAUGUUAUAGCCUAUCAUACGUUUUCUUUGCCAAAAUUUAUUUGAGGACUCUUUUCUGAAGUUGUGGAAGAAAACCCCUUAUUCCAUGUGUGAAUUAGGCCAUAUUAUUUGGCAAUAAACUAAGCCAUUUGCAGUUUGAAAUUCAUGUGCAUCUGUCUCAUCGGAGACUGCAGACGCUGUCAAAAUAUCAACU